AGUCAUUGUUGCUAUUCCUGUUUAAUAGUGACUGUGAUGAGCGGUGCGGGCGUGUUGGCGCACGUUCGCAUCGCGU
rnacentral:antisense_RNA from 1 species